UUUUUCUUUUUUCUUUUUUUUUUUUACUCAAUAAAAAAAAAUUAUAUAUAUACACAUGUGGCGAGG
rnacentral:sRNA from 1 species